rnacentral:rRNA from 1 species
CUCUUCUUGAUUUAUAAUUUGAGGUAUAACCUGCCCACUGAUUAUUUAAAGGGCCGCGGUAUUUUGACCGUGCAAAGGUAGCAUAAUCAUUAGUCUUUUAAUUGGAGACUUGAAUGAAUGGUUGGACGAGGAAUAAACUGUUUCUUAUAAAUUUAUUUGAAUUUAUAUUUUAAGUUAAAAUGCUUAAAUUAAUUUAUGGGACGAGAAGACCCUAUAGAGUUUAAUAUAUUAUAUAAUUUGUAUUAGUUAAUAUAUUAUUAUAAUUUUAUAAUUUAUUUUGUUGGGGUGAUAGAGAGAUUUAAUAAACUCUUUUUAAUUUAAUAUAUUUAUAUAUAAUUUUUUGAUCCAUUUUUGUUGAUUAUAAGACUAAAUUACCUUAGGGAUAACAGCGUAA